AGAAGUCAAGAAGAGUAAUGAAGUUACAUGUAUGUAAUAGUUAGAAUGUGGACAUGACAGAAUGUAUUAUGAUGUAUAGAUAUGUAAUGUAACGAUAUUGAGGUUAGAAGUGUGCUUGACCAUAGUAUGAUGUAAUCCCUUUUUGAAACAUGAUCUUAAUGUUAUUGAUGUCCAUGUUUAGCCAACUCAACACUUGUUAUGCCACCCAUUGGGGGCAUUGAUGAGAUCCCACAGAG
rnacentral:lncRNA from 1 species